rnacentral:rRNA from 1 species
AUGGCCAUCAAGCGCGUCUUCCCCGGCGACCACCCCGACUUCAAGGUGGACACCAGCUGCGGCGCCCCGAGGUUCACCUUCUGCAACAGGGCGCGCUACUGCAGCUCCACCGACUACCAGGAGACGCGCGCGCUCGGCGUGGGCGCCUACGGCGGCGUCGUCGAGGCGCGCCACCUCACCAACGGCUGGACCGUCGCCGUCAAGAAGCCGCUCCCCUGCGCGCACGAGGGCGCCGGCAUCGCGUGCGGCUGCGCCGACGCCCGUACGCUGCGCGAGGCCGCGUUCCUCGCGGCGUGCCACCGCCACCGCGCCAUCGUCGAGCUCCGGGCGCUCUCGCUCGACCGCUGCGCCGGGAAGCUCUCCGUGGUCAUGGAGUGCGUCGGGCCCAGCCUGCACGAGGUCCUCCACGAGUCAGGGUGGACACGGUCCGGGCCGGUCCGGUCCCGGUCCGGGCCGUCGUUUGGACCGGCCGCCGGCGGUCCGGGCCGGACCGGACCGAGCUGCAUCACGGUCCUGAUUUUGGGGACCGGACCGGCGAUGAAGAAGCCCGGGCCGGACCGAGCGGACCGACCAACGGCCACCGGCGGUGACUUGCCCGGGUGCGGCGGCGAGUUGUGCGACGUGCGUGGUUGCUCUGGCGAGGUGGGUCACAUGCGCGACAGCCGGCCGCAAGGUGUGUGCUGGGCAGCGCGGCUGUUAUUCAUGAACCGCGAGCUCUAG